rnacentral:rRNA from 1 species
UACAGAGGGUGCAAGCGUUACUCGGAAUUACUGGGCGUAAAGGGCUCGUAGGCGGCCAACUAAGUCAGACGUGAAAUCCCCAGGCUCAACCUGGGAACUGCGUCUGAUACUGGAUGGCUUGAAUCCGGGAGAGGGAUGCAGAAUUCCAGGUGUAGCGGUGAAAUGCGUAGAUAUCUGGAGGAAUACCGGUGGCGAAGGCGGCAUCCUGGACCGGCAUUGACGCUGAGGAGCGAAAGCCAGGGGAGCAAACGGG